UUUCCGUAGGUGAACCUGCGGAAGGAUCAUUAUCGUACUAAAUGCGAGCGGCCUGCGUGUGCUGUUGAUGACCCCAAAGCCGCGCCCGUCCGAGUGCGUCCCCCUGCAUAACAAUACAUCUCACCCUUCGUGCAUCACCGCGCGGUCAUUCAACGGGAUCACAUCGGCGGGGGGCCCGCGUUCUAACACAACAACCCCUUCAAAAAGUGUAGACUGACCACAUUCAUCCAAUCAAUACAACUCUCAACAACGGAUCUCUUGGCUCUACCACCGACGAAG
rnacentral:misc_RNA from 1 species